CCUCCUCGAUCUGCUGCGGCGCGAUGAAAUGGAUAUGCGCGUCGAUGCCGCCGGCGGUCAGUAUCUUUCCCUCGCCAGCGAUAAUCUCCGUCCCGGGGCCGAUGAUGAUCGUGACGCCCGGCUGAAUAUCGGGAUUGCCGCCCUUGCCGAUCGCGGCGAUGCGGCCGUCCUUCAAUCCGACGUCGGCUUUCACCACCCCUGUAUGAUCGAGAAUCACGACAUUGGUGAUGAGCGUGUCGACGGCGCCUUCGGCGCGCGAGCGUUGACUUUGCCCCAUCCCGUCGCGAAUG
rnacentral:sRNA from 1 species